GGGAAUUUUCCGCAAUGGGCGAAAGCCUGACGGAGCAAUGCCGCGUGGAGGUGGAAGGCCUACGGGUCGUCAACUUCUUUUCUCGGAGAAGAAACAAUGACGGUAUCUGAGGAAUAAGCAUCGGCUAACUCUGUGCAG
rnacentral:rRNA from 1 species